AUGGGCACCAACAUUCGCUUCAGCACAGCUUUCCAUCCUCAAACUAGUGGCCAAGUCGAGCGAGUCAAUCAAAUCUUGGAAGAUAUGCUCAAGGCUUGUGUCAUUUCCUUUGGCAUGAAAUGGGAAGAUUGUCUUCCAUAUGCCGAAUUCUCCUACAACAACAGCUUCCAAGCGAGUUCGGGCAAGGCCCCAUUCGAGAUUCUUUAUGGCAGAAAAUGUCGUACUCCUCUCAAUUGGUCAGAGACUGGUGAACGCCAACUUCUUGGCAAUGACUUAAUCAUAGAGGCUGAAGAAAUGCGUAAAGUCAUCCGUGAAAUUCUCAAAGCCGUGCAAUCGCGCCAGAAGAGUUACUAUGAUAGUAAGCACCGUGAUGUGGCUUUCGAGAUCGGAGACCAUGUCUACCUCCGCGUCUCUCCAAUGAAAGGCACUCGUCGCUUCGGUAUCAAAGGGAAGCUUGCCCCUAGAUACGUGGGUCCUUUCAAGAUCAUUGGCAAAAGAGGCGACCUCGCCUAUCAACUUGAGCUUCCUUCCAACUUCCCGAACGUGCACGAUGUGUUCCACGUGUCACAGCUUCGCAAGUGCUUCAAGAUGCCUGAGCGCACCAUCGACUUCGAAGAGAUUGACCUCCAAGAAGAUCUGUCUUAUCAUGAGCACCCCGUUGCUAUUCUUGAAGAAACUGAGCGCAAGACUCGCAACAAGUCUAUCAAAUUCCUAAAAGUGAAGUGGUCGCACCAUUCCGACUAA
rnacentral:rRNA from 1 species